GCAGUCGAACGCUUCUUUCUCCCGAGUGCUUGCACUCAAUUGGAAAGAGGAGUGGCGGACGGGUGAGUAACACGUGGGUAACCUACCCAUCAGAGGGGGAUAACACUUGGAAACAGGUGCUAAUACCGCAUAACAGUUUAUGCCGCAUGGCAUAAGAGUGAAAGGCGCUUUCGGGUGUCGCUGAUGGAUGGACCCGCGGUGCAUUAGCUAGUUGGUGAGGUAACGGCUCACCAAGGCCACGAUGCAUAGCCGACCUGAGAGGGUGAUCGGCCACACUGGGACUGAGACACGGCCCAGACUCCUACGGGAGGCAGCAGUAGGGAAUCUUCGGCAAUGGACGAAAGUCUGACCGAGCAACGCCGCGUGAGUGAAGAAGGUUUUCGGAUCGUAAAACUCUGUUGUUAGAGAAGAACAAGGACGUUAGUAACUGAACGUCCCCUGACGGUAUCUAACCAGAAAGCCACGGCUAACUACGUGCCAGCAGCCGCGGUAAUACGUAGGUGGCAAGCGUUGUCCGGAUUUAUUGGGCGUAAAGCGAGCGCAGGCGGUUUCUUAAGUCUGAUGUGAAAGCCCCCGGCUCAACCGGGGAGGGUCAUUGGAAACUGGGAGACUUGAGUGCAGAAGAGGAGAGUGGAAUUCCAUGUGUAGCGGUGAAAUGCGUAGAUAUAUGGAGGAACACCAGUGGCGAAGGCGGCUCUCUGGUCUGUAACUGACGCUGAGGCUCGAAAGCGUGGGGAGCAACAGGAUAGAUACCCUGGUA
rnacentral:rRNA from 1 species